rnacentral:misc_RNA from 1 species
GCCAGAGCAUUGACAUAGAAAGAUUUUCUGAUUGGGGAAAGUCAAAGUCCACAUCAAAACGUGAUAAACUUAACAAUUUUCUAUUGCUCACACCUAUGCAUUUUCCUGCAGAACUUAUUCAAGGUGUAAAGACAGAGCAGCCAAAUCCCAAAAAAGUUCGAUGGAACCCAGACUCAGACCUGCAAAAGUUUGAUCUGUUUGAGAAGCUUGAACAGAAGUAUCAGGGACGAGAAGAGAAAGAUCAAAAGGAAAAGAAAGAAG